rnacentral:rRNA from 1 species
AUUGAACGCUGGCGGCAGGCCUAACACAUGCAAGUCGAGCGGCUCGGCGGACGGGUGAGUAAUGCCUAGUAAUCUGCCUGUUACUGGGGGAUAGCGUCCGGAACUGGCCGCUGAUGCCACAUACUAUCAGAUGAGUCUAUGGGGGAUUAGCUAGUUGGUGGGGUAAAGGCUUCACAAGGCGCCGAUCCGUAACUGGUCUGAGAUGAUGAUCAGGCACACUGGAACUGAGACACGGUCCAGACGCCUACGGGAGGCAGCAGUGGGGAAUAUUGGACAAUGGGCGAAAGCCGGAACGAGCCAUGCCGCGUGAGUGAAGAAGGUCUGCGGAUUGUAAAGCGCUUGAGGUAGAGAUGCGUUAUCAACAUAAGAAGCGACGGCUAACUUCGUGCCAGAAGCCGCGGUAAUUA